rnacentral:rRNA from 1 species
CGCGUAGGUGGUUUGGUCAGUCAGAUGUGAAAGCCCUUGGCUUAACCUGGGAAUUGCAUUUGAUACUGCCAGACUAGAGUAUGGUAGAGGGAAGUGGAAUUCCGGGUGUAGCGGUGAAAUGCGUAGAUAUCCGGAGGAACAUCAGUGGCGAAGGCGGCUUCCUGGACCAAUACUGACACUGAGGUGCGAAAGCGUGGGUAGCAAACA